AACGUAGGUGGCAAGCGUUAUCCGGAUUUACUGGGCGUAAAGGGUGUGCAGGCGGUGCUGGGAGUGGGGUAUGAAAUCUCCAGGCUUAACCUGGAGGGGUUAUGCCAGACUGCAGUUCUAGAGGACGAGAGAGGGGGGUGGAAUUCCGGGUGUAGUGGUGAAAUGCGUAGAGAUCCGGAGGAACCCCAGAGGCGAAGGCGGCCCCCUGGCUCGUACCUGACGCUCAGCCACGAAAGCAUGGGGAGCGAACGGG
rnacentral:rRNA from 1 species